AGAGUUUGAUCCUGGCUCAGGAUGAACGCUGGCGGCGUGCUUAACACAUGCAAGUCGAACGAGAGAGGAUCGGUGCUCGCACUGAUCCAAUCGAGUGGCGGACGGGUGAGUAACGCGUGGGUAACCUGCCUUGUACUGGGGGACAACAGUUGGAAACGACUGCUAAUACCGCAUAAGCGCACAGCUUCGCAUGAAGCAGUGUGAAAAACUCCGGUGGUACAAGAUGGACCCGCGUCUGAUUAGCUGGUUGGUGAGGUAACGGCCCACCAAGGCAACGAUCAGUAGCCGGCCUGAGAGGGUGAACGGCCACAUUGGGACUGAGACACGGCCCAAACUCCGUACGGGAGCA
rnacentral:rRNA from 1 species